rnacentral:rRNA from 1 species
UAAGGAAUAUUGGUCAAUGGGCGCAAGCCUGAACCAGCCAUGCCGCGUGAAGGAUGACGGCCCUAUGGGUUGUAAACUUCUUUUGUACGGGAAAAAACCACCGGUCGUGUAUCGGUGCUGAUGGUACCGUAAGAAUAAGCAUCGGCUAACUCCGUGCCAGCAGCCGCGGUAAUACGGAGGAUGCAAGCGUUAUCCGGAUUCAUUGGGUUUAAAGGGUGCGCAGGCGGAGUGUUAAGUCAGUGGUGAAAUCUCUCGGCUCAACCGGGAAACUGCCAUUGAUACUGACAUUCUUGAGUAUUGUUGAGGUAGGCGGAAUGUGUCAUGUAGCGGUGAAAUGCUUAGAUAUGACACAGAACACCGAUCGCGAAGGCAGCUUACCAAGCAAUAACUGACGCUCAUGCACGAAAGCGUGGGGAUCAAACA